rnacentral:rRNA from 1 species
CAGUAGCCGCGGUAAUACGAAGGGUGCAAGCGUUACUCGGAAUUACUGGGCGUAAAGCGUGCGUAGGCGGUAUGGUAAGUCAGGUGUGAAAUCCCGGGGCUCAACCCCGGAACUGCAUCCGAUACUGCCGUGCUAGAGGACUGGAGAGGCAACUGGAAUUCUCGGUGUAGCAGUGAAAUGCGUGGAGAUCGAGAGGAACACUCGUGGCGAAAGCGAGUUGCUGGACAGUAUCUGACGCUGAGGCUCGAAGGCCAGGGUAGCGAAAGGGAUUAGAUACCCCAGUAGUCCCUGUCUCUUAUAC